CAUGAGGACAUCCAUAUCAAUAAUCUUUGCAUACAAACACAACUCUGAUGCUGAAAUAGCAAGCUUUAAAAUUAUCUGAUAGAACAGAUAAAACUUGGAGCAAAUGAAAGAAUUAUGUAGUACACAGCAAAUCCAUUAUCCUUUUCAGUAUUUGCUUUGGUGAGGAUGUAAGAAAUGAGAUUUAUUCUAAAAUGGAUGAAAGAACAAAAUACUACCAUUUGAGAAGAAUGUUAUGCAUAGAAAGAGAACUUGCCUAUGAAUAGUAAAAUUAGUUAUGAACCAAGCACCACUAAUUGUGUAGGGUACUUACCAGUUUUAUUAAAAUUGUUAGAAGCCAGUUACUGAGGACUUAUGAUGUUUGAAUUAUCUCUAAUUACCUGAACAGGAUGGAUAAAAAAAUGAUGAUUCGAGAAAACAAGGCAAAAUCCAAAUCAGAAUUUUUACUGGAAGUGGAUAUUUCAGUUUGCAUUUAUUUUAAAUAAAAUUUUAAAUGGAAAAAAAUUAAAGGUAUAUAAAUUAAUAUUUUUUUUCUUAAGGAAAACAGUAAGGAUGCAGUACAAAUUUGCUGCUUAAUUUCUAAAUUAAAAAAAGUCAAACCACUGUUCUGCUGAAGUGAAAAACCUCUUUUUGAUACCACUGACCACUUCCACACAACUCAAUAAUAAUAUGUCCCCAUAGCAGCUGCUUCUGCUAGUACAUUCAAUGGUGCUCACUCAACUGCUGAGAAACAAGGUGGAAAUUGGAAAUGGGCCAGAAAUCUCAUCUUCUUCCUUAGAUACAAAUCUGGGUGAGAUCUACUAAUCUAGAAUCUUGAAGGAUACAGUUACCAUGAAAAUAAAUUGAAUUCACUAACUUCAUAAAAGAGCAUAACAAAUUAAUAAAUCAUUAGAGGCAACAGAGAAAUUGAAAUUAAUCAUUAUAUUUUAAAUAUCAAAUACUGUAUAUGGCUUUUUUAAUAUAUGUAAUACAAAGAAUUAUUUUCAGAACAAACUCUAAUGUAUUUUCUAGAAGUUUUCUAAAAGGGUUGUUAGACUACACUGACUAGGAGUGGCAAAGAGUUGCCCUCUCCAAUGUUAUCUAUGGAGGAUAGAUAUGGUUGUUAUGGUUGCUGUGGUUGUUAUCUAUGGAGGAAGGAGAACAGGGAUGUAGUUAAAGAGAAAACUGCUCAAAUGACAGGACUGGAAUAGUGCAAGUCCACACUAACUGGAGUCACAGCAUCAUCCCAAGGCUGAUCUCACAGGAAUGAAGGGAAUCCCACUUUAGUGCUGCUGAACUGUGUUAGAGUUGCUUUUUGUCCUUUGAAUUCAAUGGGAUCAAAACUUUCUCUGGAAAGAAACACCUUAUCUUGUUCGUUUUCUUUGGAUUUAGCAAUGUACUCAUUCAAAUAUGGAGGAGACAUUUUUACCAGGAAUUAUGCCCAGAAAGUGCUUAGGUACUAGCUCUCCUCCCCUCACUUACAUGCAGUUCUUUGAACAGGGAGACAAAAGCAACACAGAAGACUGAAGACAGCACUUUAAAUAUUACACAGUGGCUUCCUUAUACGCCUGUCAGUAAUUUUACUUGUUCUCAGUGUGUUUCUACAUGACUUCUAUACAGCCAGCACUACUCUGAGUCGUGCAGAAUAAACAGAGCUGCUCCCAGGGCCUGCUAGCACUGGCUGCCUGUGGUCUAGAUGAAGAAUGAGGACUGCUAGCUCAGAGCAGCCCAUGCAAUUCAAAGUGCUGAGGCAAUGGGAAAUUUUUAGGGAAAGAAAAAUGCAUGUGAGCAUGUAAGGGACUUGAAUGGCCAUAUAAUUUGAGCCGUAAUGACUCUGCAAGGCCUAAAUUGGAUCAAAGUAAAUGUGUUUCGUAUUUUCUCAUUUUACAUGGAGCAUUAAUGUCAUAAUGUUUCCUUCCUUCUUCUAGGUUGCUACUAAAAAUUGCUCUAUUCAUGCAGGUGUCUGAAAGUAUGUGUUUGUGUGGAAGGGCUUAUGAAUAUGUGGUUUGAGAAACAAAAUAUGGGCAAUAAUAAUCCACAGAAUAAGCAAGUCCUUGGUUUUGUUUAAUACAGCUCUAGUAUUCACGUGCACAUGAAAGAAUACACCUGAGUUUUAAAGAAGCAUCUGUCUCUUUAUCCUCAUGAUAGUUCAGGUUUACUUCCAGUAAUUCCUGAAGUUCAUGUGACCUAAGCCUGAUAACAUCACAUCACAGUUAAAAAAACCCAUGAUAAUUUUCUAUACAGCUGUAAUUUUGUGGCUGGAACUAUGUUUUUGUGUGCAUACAGAUGAGGGCAGGAGUUUUGUAGCACAGGAAAAACAGACAGCUCUCAGGUUGUGUAACCUUCUUCCUCCUCAUCCAUACAAAGAACAUCAAGGCCCUGUCCCAGAAAAUUAUGUCCUUUCCCACACCUCCCUCAUCCCCACCUACCUGCAGUACCCCUUCUCUUUCCAAGCCCCUUCCCUCCUGACAGAGCAGCUGGCAGAGCUGUGAGUGCCAGUCCACGAACAGGUUCAUGCCUUUUGAUUUACUGGCCAAGAGACCAAAGCAACUGAAAAUCAAUGAGCUCCUCGCAGCAUGAGGGCCUUUUUCUGUGUCUGCUUUCUCUAACACUUGCAGUUACCUUAUCUCAGUCUCACAUUUGACUGCAACUGGUCAGUAACACUCCAAAAUACAUAAGGGAAGAAAACACUCCUGCAGCCAGAGCAGCCUCAAAACAGGCUACGCACAGAGCUGAGACUGCAGCUCUUUGGAGAAGGCACUAAGCCUGGGGGUUUGUCUAAACAAUGCUCCCUCUCCCAGAGCAUAGGUCCUUGACCCAAGGUUACGUCUGUGCUCCAUCCAUCCAUCCAUCCAUCCAUCCAUCCAUCCAUCCAUCCAUCCAUCCCAGCAAGGAUCCAGAGCUUGCAACAAUCUGAAGCCAGGAUCCAAAACCAGGUCUUGAGAUACGGGACAUGGGGCAGAGUUUGUUUUACAAGUGAAUAGCUUGGUUGUUGGAGCAUUCUUCAAAGAGCAAAGAGAUUCAGAAGGACUGAUUUAUAAGUACAUUUUUUGGUCAAGGAACUAUUCUGUCUCAAAUCCUUGAUGAACUUGAAGAAAAAUCUUGAAGAAAAAUUAGCUUCUAUGCAAUUCUGAAGUGGUAUAUACAUGUUUUUCAGAAAUAUCAUUAAGUUUUCUGUAAUUAUGAAAUGCAGACAACCACUGUGAAACUGAGUUUGAAAGCAGAGGUGCUAAAGAUUUUAAGUACUAAACAAACUGCUGACAGCUUUGUCAAUGCUACCUAUCAGUUAUCAAGGAAUGCAAAAGAAAACUGAAUGGGUAUUUGUGAUACAGGCAGUACUCUGUACUUUGAAGCUAAGGGAAGAAAGCAGGUUGAAAACAUUCCAUCUGUCUGACUCAUAACUCAGCUCCCAGAAUUUGUCUUUGCUAAAAAAAAUUACAAACUUUUUCAGUGGCAGUGGAAACCAGGAUAAAGUGAAACGCAUAUCACAUCAUGAAAUGCUUUAUCAGAGCUGCUGAAGAUGCUGGUCUGUAAUAUUUGAGAUAUGGCAGAGGAUACCAGGUCAAUGGUUUAUAACACUAUCAGGUUAAACGUCUAUGGAUUUCCAUAAAACAAAAGCCCAGUGUUUACAUUCUGAGUAAUAACUCAGGGUAUUGAGAUUGACAAUUUUUAAGAAUCUCAUUUUUCACCAUUUUAUUAGCUGGCACAUUCCACUGCCUAGAGUGAGAAAGAUGAAGCUGAGGAGAGUGGCAGGCAGCGAGCUGUGCAUGGCUGCUGCUGUCCCACUUGGCCUGCAAAGGCUACACCACUGCCUUACAAACACUGCAUGAGGAACCCCAUUAAGAUGCAAUUUAAAACAAGGCAGUCCUGGAACACUAUGUUAUGGAAAAAUUGGUUUUACAAAACUUAGUUGUAAGCGACAUUUAGCCUGUCAGAUUCCUUUGAAUAUAUGGAACAUGAAUAAAUAGAGUGUAAAGCCCAACCAAUGUCACAGAUUUUCAUCAGAUCAAAAGAUCAGAUCUCAAAUUGCACUUGAAAACAAACCAUGAAUUUCUGGUUGAUAUAUGCAACCACUACAUGCAGGUAUCCAAGCUUUGGAAGGAAAGCUGUAUUUUCAUGUAAUAUGACAAAUUUUCUUGUUUGCAGGAAUAACUUAUCAGGUAGCAUGCAUUAACAGUAGUUAAGAUUUCAUAUAUGUAAAAAAUAUUUGGCAUGAAUCUAGGCAGAAAUGUAAAGAUCUCACUAUUUGCUAUAAAGCAGCAGUAAUGUGUAUCAACUCUACUUGUUUUUAUUUUUUAUUCCUAAGGAGAAUUGCUCUUGAUAAGGAAGCAGCACAAGCACCAAUACACUGUCUUGAUAAGCAGAUACCUUCAUGCAGAACUGCCUGAACUUCACUCAUAAAAGGAAAUGGAUGCAAAGUGAGCAUAAACAACUAAAAUUAUAUUUUAGCACUGCUUCUGCAUGCAAGUUCAGUGAAUCAUUCAUCUUCUUAAGUCAAAUCAGGACUAGUGCUUUCCAAGAAAAUAUAAUUCAGCUUGACCCUAGUUAUGCUUCAGAAAAAUACAGGUAACUUGGUGAAAUUUAGCCUAAUCUCUUGCACGUUACAGACUAUCAAAUCACCUAAGAGUCGCUUCUGGCCUUAAAAGCCAUGAGUUUCAAAAAUUCUAUUACACUUAAAAUACAUAGCAAUAUAUACAUAAAUUCUAUUACAGAGUUUAAACACAUAGCUCCUAAGAAGGAAAUCCUUAUUCCAAGAGUAGUAUUCAUUCAUACCACAACAGUUUCUCACCUACAGAAAUACAAAAACCACACAUUUACUCCCUAUGUCAAUCUGUCCUACUGAAUAGAAAUACAUUGUCACUUUUUCAAAUCGGAAAUGUAACUGCUAUUUCUCCCCCACGGCACACAUCCUAUCACAGCAGUUCACCAGUCUCAGGUGGUGAAGGACACCCUAGCCCCACACGCAUUUUUUCCACUCUAGCUCUCUGUAUGCACUUAUGUUUUAGAUGCUGCUUUGAUAAGGCAAAUAGAUCCAUGACAUGCUCUCUUCUUUAACUACUGAGGAGACAACAGGUAAGUCUUGUCUUCCUUCACCUGUACUAAAUGGGAAACAAUAUAAGUGGAAUCCAUCCCCCCCCCCCCCCCCCUUCGUUGGUUUAAUCAAAACCAGCACUAUCAGCCAGACGGGCACACGUGUACCUGGCUGUGUGCUCUCUGAAGGUGGACCCUGAUACAUUGUCAAUUACGUUCAUUUUAUUUCUUUCAUCAAAAUUCAGGUAUUCUCUUCUCAAAUCUCCCAUGUGAAGGUGUGAGACUUCAUCUUUUAAAAGAAAACUCAAACUGAAACUUGGAAACAUUUAUUUACGCUCAAACACAACUGCAAUUACUAAACACGAUUGUUUAUUUAAUUUACAGAUACAUAGAUGGCACCUGACGAGCAUGAGUGAUGAAAAGGGUACAGCGAGACCAGAUUAGAUGGAACAUUUAAGAAAGCCCUUCAAGCCACCAGGAGGAAUGAUUCAAGACUUGGAAGACUCAUAUUUGGCUCCCACUCCACCAGAAAUAUCUCAUAUAAUUUCCUAUAAGCUGCAUGGAUUCUGUUUGAAGCCCUAUGCUGGAUGAGAGAGAUUGUGAAGAACACACUUGAGUCUACAAAUAUUUUCCUGUAAGAAUCAAGUCCACUGGAUGAAUUUCAAAUUUUGUCCUGUAAGGAAAUGUGUAAAAUGGGAAACGUUUCCAGAAGAGAACUAAUUCUUGCAGUGCUGCAUUGCUGCUUUAUAAAUAAAUCAUUGUCCUUUUUCUAUUGAUCACUGGAACAAUCCAGUCGAAGAAUGCUGACUUAGUGCAGCCCUUCGCAGGAUGGCUGGAUUGAGAGAAAAAGCCGGGUAAGUGGGACCCAGCAGCAGGGAAUUGGGAAAAUCCCAGACUAGUUAGAGAUGAGGUUUGGUGCAUGAAAUCCUUGACUUGUCUUUUACCUCCAAAAAAAACUGGACAAAGCAGCUGAUUUCUACAAGAUAUUCUGUCUUUUUAUAAUGUCAUUGAUCAGACAAAUUAAAUAUAAGACAAUGCUAGUUGUAAUAGGUGGAUGAUGCUGAAAAUCCGUAUUUAAUGUAUUGUGAUUUUCUUUUUGAGAACACACAAAAAAAAGACCUUCCAAAUUCAAUUAAUGAUCUCAAUUAUGAUAUUUAUUUGUCGAGAAAUAAGGGCUCAGAUCUGCCAGGAAUAUGUUUGAGUUUAUAGACUCUCGGAAAUAGUACUGCAUUCCUGUGAGUUGAGGUGGAAUCUGAAUUUUAUUUGGUUAUCACAGAUAACCAAGAUCACAGCUUGCCAAUCUGACAAUUCAAUGAUGUCUGAUUUUUCAGGACUUCUGGUAUCAAGCCCCAAGGCUUUUCUGGGAAUAGAAGCAGCCUGUUACAAUGAGGAGCUGAGAAAUACUAUUUGGGUUUGCAUGUCUGACCAGUAAGAUCAGUAAUGGAUCUUGAAGGCAUACACUUUUUAAAAUGUGGCUUUCACUGAAGCCUGUGUAUGUCAUCUAUAGCAAGAGUGUAUACUCAGGAUGUUGUUAUCCAGAACAUACAGCUAGUUCUAGAAUAUAAAGUUCUUAUUUUUCAUAAAAUGAUAUUUAUUGGUAACUGCAGUGCUCAGUUGAUGGCACGUUAGUCAGGGUCAUGGUGAUGCAUUGCUUUUAGGGCAUGUUGUCAUCACAUCAUUUUUUUCUGUUUCUCAUUAAUUACAGAUACUUCCAGGAUGCAGGUCUGUAAAAUGUAAUUAUUUAUUCCACUGGGUGUUCUAUCUCUAAUGCUGCAAUCAGAGGCAGCAUAUGCUGCUGUAUUCUCACCGGUGUGCCGUUGGGUGGCUAUCAAGAAGCAAAGGGGCUUGCAAAAGACUUUCCCGGCCACAGCCGAGGUGUGGGGCGUGGAGCAGAGCAGCUGGAUGCGAGGAGUGCGCGAGUGGCUCUGGGCUGCGCGGCGCUGCCGGGGGCGCCCGGGGCUCCUCUUGCCGCUGCUGCCGGCGCGGCUCUGGGGCCGCCGCGUCCGCUCCCGGCUCAACGCCCCGCUGACGGCAAAAAUUCUCACAACUUCAACGAUAAACCCGGACCAAAUGGACUACAGGGAACAAAUCUGGAGGUACAGAAAGAGACUACAUGUGUCGAUGUUGCUAGCAUGGCAGAAAGCACCUGGCACAGCCCUAGUUUCCAUUGGACUGGCAGUGGAUGGGCUUUCCCUUUCCUCUCCCAGUGUGCAAGUAUCAAUCGGUUCGUGCCUUCUGCUAGGAUGCUAAAAGGCCCGUAAUUACCGUGAGCAUAAUAAUCCAUGAAGAAUUUCGUUAUCUGAAAUAAUGCGAUCUAUUAAACAAACAAAAACCCCGGUGGUGUUUAUCAUUACUCCUGCGUUUGACCGUCUCCCUCUUCCAGCUGGAGCAGAGCCUGGCCGCUGGCCACUAGAUGCCACUGUUGUAUAAGGACAUGUUGGGCGUAAUGCCUUAGACAAUGAGUAAUUUACUUAGAGAACAUGUAUGUGUAUAAUUAGGAGUCAUCAAUGUCUUUCUUUUAAAAUAAAAUAAGUUUACCAUAUCUAAUUAGAUAUUUCUUAUAAGAUGGAUUUCAUUCUAAUUGGGUAAAGCUAUGCUACUGGUUUAAAAUACAGCAAAGGAUGUAUUUGUAUUCACUUUCACAGUUUUCAUAUUUCUUUAGUCCUUGCAAUAAAUGGAUCUGAUUACACCUUUUAAAUCGAUGUUCUCUCAAACUGGUAUGACAUAAAUGAUUGUUCUGUCAUUGUGAUUUUACUGCCAUUGUUUUCAGCAUGUGAGGUUUUCUAGUGAUAUCUCUUAAUCUCAUUCUGUCUUUCCCUAUCCUCCUGAUUGUGAUCUUAGAUCUGCAUGUUCUUUCCAUCCAAACUGAAGUAAUCUAUUUAAAGAGCCAACAGUGGCCACCGUGGACUCUGGCUUGACUAUGGCAGCAGCAGUGAGCAGCAGGCUUUCCAGCAGCAGUGAGCUCAGUAAUCCACAGCUAAUGAGCCAGAGCUCCAAAAUGUCCAUUGCGCAAGGGGCUUCUUUAAAAUCUCAGAUUUCCUGUUGCUGAGUGUUGACAAUGGAAGUCUAGAUUUUUCAGAUGUUGGACUGUAUCCAGCCUAGAUAAAAUUCAAAUGCAGUGCUUUUUUUUCAGGGAAAAGGCAUGCCUUAUAGCUUCAGUAUGAAUUCAGAAGGCACUGGCUAGUCAUUGUGACACCCAGUGCGGGUAGAGCUUACACCCCUUCUCAAAGCAGUUUCAUUAGUGCCUGAAUUCUCUUCACCAACCAGAGUUCUGGAUUUUCCCACCAAAAUUCUAUAUUGCAUGCUAACAUCAGAACUCUGCUGGUUUUACAGUUGUUUCGGAUCUGUGGGAGUUUAGGUAUGGAUGAUCUUUCUCAGAUCAGCUCUAGUGACACCAGGCUGCAACACUGACCACUUCCACCUCAUGAGUGCUCCCAUCAGCCUAUUCUUGCCUGUCUGACACGUGAGCCACUCCUGUGUUUCCCAAUUAUGACUAGAACUUGUCUAUUCAAUCUUGAUGCCAUCUUUCAAAUUACUUUGAAUUAUCUCCUGAAAGAAGCUACUCCUGCAACAAAACAAUGGCAAAGUGAUUUUAGAAUUUUCAGAUUGUGGUUUAUAACUGUGAUGUACCUCAGAAAUAGCUUGUCCCAGUGGGCAUGGCUUUCUCUGCUAUCCCUAUCUCUCAUAUAUCAAAUUAUGGAUUAUUAUACAAAAGUUGUAUCUCUGUCUUAUUUAUUGAAGUGUUGGUUCACUAAAUAAAGGAUCUCAACAAUGAUUUGAGCUGGCUGAAAACAUGCUU